CCAAAGGCUCUUUUCAGAGCCAUCACAAGCUGUGAGGCUGUCU
rfam:Tetraodon nigroviridis, WGS project CAAE01000000 data, contig: CNS0BW0Q, chromosome: undetermined